AGCGAACGCUGGCGGCAGGCUUAACACAUGCAAGUCGAGCGGGCAUCCUUGUGGUGUCCGCGGCAGACGGGUGAGUAACGCGUGGGAACGUGCCCUUCGGUUCGGAAUAACUCAGGGAAACUUGAGCUAAGACCGGAUACGUGCGAGAGCAGAAAGGUUUAUCUGCCGAAGGAUCGGCCCGCGUCUGAUUAGCUAGUUGGUGAGGUUACGGCUCACCAAGGCGACGAUCAGUAGCUGGUCUGAGAGGAUGAUCAGCCACACUGGGACUGAGACGCGGCCCAGACUCCUACGGGAGGCAGCAGUGGGGAAUAUUGGACAAUGGGGGCAACCCUGAUCCAGCCAUGCCGCGUGAGUGAUGACGGCCUUAGGGUUGUAAAGCUCUUUUCUCCGGGACGAUAAUGACGGUACCGGAGGAAUAAGCCCCGGCUAACUUCGUG
rnacentral:rRNA from 1 species